AUGGGCAAGAAACUGUUCUUCAUGGCCAUCCUUCUCAUCCUGGGGGCGGCGACAACAGCGGUGCGGGGCGAGCUGGUGUGCGACGUGCUGAGGGCAGAGUGCAUGGUCAAGUGCUGGCAAGGGACGGGCAAGUGCAUGCGAUGCUGCCAGGCCCUGGGCUACGUCCAUGGCCGCUGCAAUCUCGUCCGCGGCGACGUCUGCUACUGCUGCAACGACGACGGCGCACCACCCUCCUCGCCUGCACAAGAGCGACACGGCCGGCUACCAUAG
rnacentral:rRNA from 1 species